CUUAGAUAUGUCCCAGCAGUAGGAGGGUCUAGGCUCAAACCCGUACGUAAACAAUUUUCACUGAGUGCUAAGAGAAGCCGGGAAUUUUCCCUGUGAAUGCCAUCCUUCCCUUCCUACUCAAAAAGCACCCAGGAUGUACAGCGCUUCCCAACUUCCAGGUCGCUGCUUCCAUCCCCAGAAGCCGAACAGCCGGAGCGGGAAGAUGUGAGGGUCAGGGCGGCAGACCACUGCCUUUCUUUUAUUUGAAUGAUGGCCAGACUUAGAAUGGAUAAACUACCACAAGACAAAAUUUUCUUGGAGUAUUUUGCUGCUAUUAACUUCUGAAAAUAGCAAGAGAAACCUUGUUUGCAUGAAGCUGGUGUCAGAUGAAGACUGACUGAAUCCUCAAGGUACCACCUGCAAUCACCUGCACUGUGUGACGCUGGGCGAGUUACCCAAAUGACAUACACGUAAAGAUCUGUUAAUCAGAGAGUAGAUUGGAAAAAUACUCAGAUAACUCAAAGGCUGUGGCAGCUCUACAGAACAGCUCAGGUCUCUGCUGUUCCCCUCCCACAGCUCUCCCUCUUGCCUGGGUGAUACUACAUUUUUCCAGUCUCACCCACCACAUGCCAACUGGAUUUCUUUGGAAUCAUGUCUCAAGCUUGUUCUUUUGCUUUUUAACAUCUCUAAACCCUUUUCUUAAAAAAAAAAAAAAAAAAAAAAAAAUGUCCUCCAAGCCUCUCUGCCCUUACAUCAGUUAGUGUAACAUUCAGCUUCAGCAGCUGCCCUCAAGAACACUUCCAUUCACUCCACAAUCAUACUGGUCCUUUGUUUACAUAAUUUACAGGCUUCUUGCCUUCUCUUCUUUAUUCCUAUUACCUUUCCACAUCUCCUCUUACCUCACUGAACCAAUAACCUCCCUGCUGUACAGCCAACCCAGAACCUUUGCUUCAUCAGACUCUAUAAUAAUCUCUUCAGCUUCUUCCCUAAGCGCAGACUCACGCUCUCCCCAGCUUGCUUCUGAGCCUGGGAAAACCUUCCUGAUAAAAUCUCAGCAGCCACUCCUUUCUCCUCCUUCAAAACUAUCUGUACAACUCACCUCUGUCAAAAAAAACCUACUAAACGCAGCCUUGGCUAUGACUGGGCAACUGAGGAACUAAGAUUUUCUUUCUUCCUUUCGUUGCUCCCUGCCCCUGCUCUCAGCAGAGCAUUAUUACAAAUUACCCUACCAAAGAAUGGUCCUUGUCUUAUAUACAUAUAUAUAUAUAUAUAUACACACACACACACACACAUAUAUAUGUAUACACACUUUUAGUUGUAUUCUUCAUCCUCAUGGUUAUUAGUGCCUGCAGAACCCUCAGGGCAGGGAUUGCCUUUUUUUCCUGCUUUUGCGAAGCACCUCACAGAACUGUGGCUCAAUUCCCUGCACAUGGUCCCAAAAUACAAACACGCCUGCAUGACAGCCUGUUCCCUGGAGCAGAGGUACGGCAGAGCUGGGAACCACCAGUCAGCUGCAGUUGUCGCUGGCACAGAAUGGGAAGGCAAAGAGAUCAGGCUAAUUGGACAAGAGUGAAAUAAGAGAGCACAGAGCUUUGAAACUGCUGAUUUUGUAUGUGGGAGCAAGUGACCACCAGCACUUUCAGAAGCUCCCACAUUUCUGUGCUCCAGCCCAUUACAAAGCUUUCAGACAGAAGUGUCCCAAUUUCCAUUUACUUAAAGCAAACUUUAUUUUAAAAAAAAAAAAAAAAAACCAAAAACAACCCAGUGCUUUCAGCCUUCUUGUCUAAACCAAACCCAUAUUACAACAGCUAAAAUGUCAGAGCUAAUUAAGAAGAGGAAGCUGUGUAUGAACCAGCCAAGACGUGCAUCUGCCACCGAAGAGCGAGCGCCCGUUUUCUGCAGCCCUCGCCAGGAGCCGGCGCACAGCGAGUCUUCCCCGAGAAGCAGAUAGCUGGCAAUUUGGUCAACCCUGAAUUACAUUCUGGAGUGCUAACUUCCCUUGUGGUUGCAAAAAAACGAGGCUUUAAAAAUAUGAUUUUAAAUGAUGCCCGGGGGUAUAUUUAAAGAAUAGCCAGCCAGAUUCCAUCCUGCCUUCCAGAGCACCAUCGGGCUCCAGUGGGGUGGCACAGUAGAUAAGAGAGCAUGGUGUUUGGCUAAUUGGUUUUAACCAUCAUUAUGUAAUAUUGAUGUCAUAUCGAAUACACAUAUAUAUUCUGGCAUAGCAACCGAAAUUACACUGAUUUAUUAAGUUGAUAGUCUGCACUGGUGCCAAGCUACCAAGUAAUAGAUCAGCUGCCUGGGCUGAACUUCAACGUGUAAUUUCCAGCGCAAUUUGACUGAUCAGCAAUACCAUAAUUGGUUGCAAACGUCCUUCCUUCUAUUUGUUUUGUUAAGUGGCUUUUUCAUUAACACAGCAGAGCCAAGUAAAUAAAUAUCACUUUACUAUUGGACUGAAAGCAGAGAAUAGUUGAGAACUGGACACAGACUGGGACAAGACUGUGUGAUACUGUCAAGCCAGCACUUUUUUUUUAAUACAUUCUCUUGUUUACUGCCUGUAGGACUCUGCUGCUUCAGAAGAGAUAUCCUUUUAGCAAAAGGGACUUGGCCGAUGCUCUGCUCAGUAAAAUGCAAAUAUAUUGAAUUUAUGCCUCCAAAUGCCUUAAGUCAAUAGGUUUAUUAUUAGGCCAAGUCUUGAUAUCUCUGCUUAGAGUAUGGUCCUCAGGUGUCCCUGCUAAGAGAGGACACCCAGUCAUGUCUCUGGGAACAGGCUCUCUGCUCUGUAGGGCAGCACUCAGUCAUCUGAAGGAGCUGGCAAACUCAGAACUGGGCACAGUCUCUUUAAGGGAGGUGGCACCUCCCUCCUCUGACCCACUCUAACACCGAAGCCUAAGCUGAACCAGGUGGUGGGUCCCAUCCCCAGAGCCUCACCCCUGUUCAGAUCUGCUUCUGCAGCACACUCACAGCUCUGCACUCAUACGGGACCACAUGGAGCUUUGCUAUUUUAAAGACCGAGAAGUCUCAGAUAUGGUCUGAGGCCAAGUUGAAUCAUAGAAUUAUUUUGGUUGGAAGAGACCCUCAAGGUCAUCAAGUCCAACCAUUAACCCAACACUGCCUGGUCUAUUGCUAAACCAUGUCCUUGAGAACUUCAUCUCCACAACUUCUAAACCCCUCCAGAGAUGGUGACUCUACCAUUGCCCUGGGCAGCCUGUUCUAAUGCCCAAGAACCCUUUCCAGGAAGAAACAUUUCCCAAUAUCCAAUCUAAACCUCCCCCAGUGCAACUUGAGACCAUUUCCUCUCAUCCUGAUGCUUGUUCCUUGGGAGCAGAGCCCAGCCUCCCUGGCUCCAACCUCCUUUCAGGCAGUUCAGAGAUCAGAAGGUCUCCCCUCAGCUCCUGUUCUCCAGGCUGAACCCCCAGGUCCCUCAGCCGCUCCCAUCACACUCGUGCUCCAGACCCUUCACCACCAAGUUGCAAAGUUCCUGAAAAUACUGACUCAAGCACUGGAUUUGUCAGCAAGUGCAAUUAUUAGAACAGGAGAAGGGCAGAAGCUGCUGCUGUGACACCAACUACCCCACAAAAUAGCUCUGGACAUCACUGGAUAAUCACGUGACAUUUCUGAUUUUCAAUAGAUAUAUAAAACAUUGGGGUUUGGGUGUAUGAUUUUAAUGCUUUUUAAUGCUCUUUCCAUCUCUUAUUUUGCCCUAUUCUAUCGAUGCCAGCCCAUUUCUGGCUCUAUUCUAAACAUUUGUAAUCGUGUUAGGCUGGAGAAUGAAUAGUGGUUAUCUGGUGCAUUCAGAGCAAUGAAACAUCAUCACAGACCUUUCACACUGAGUCGCCAUGACACGUUAUAGGAACAAAGACAAUAAAAAUAUCAUGUAAAAAAAGAAGAAAGGCAUUGAGUCAGGAGAAAAGAACUAAUCCAUUAUUUUUAACUAUUUUCUUCAGUUUAGGACUUCAUACCUUUGAUACUUGUCAUCCACUGGACUCUGCCAAAUAGAGACAUUGUUUUUCUUCUGUUAGCUCCCCAAAAAUACCCAACGAUGGCUUAUUUCAAUGUGAAUAAAAUUAAAGACUAAGCUACUUAAACAA